UGGGGAAUAUUGCACAAUGGAGGGAACUCUGAUGCAGCGACGCCGCGUGAACGAAGAAGGCUUUCGAGUCGUAAAGUUCUUUUAUAUGGGAAGAUAAUGACGGUACCAUAAGAAAAAGCCCCGGCUAACUACGUGCCAGCAGCCGCGGUAAUACGUAGGGGGCUAGCGUUGUCCGGAAUCACUGGGCGUAAAGGGUUCGCAGGCGGAAAUGCAAGUCAGGUGUAAAAGGCAGUAGCUUAACUACUGUAAGCAUUUGAAACUGCAUAUCUUGAGAAGAGUAGAGGUAAGUGGAAUUUUUAGUGUAGCGGUGAAAUGCGUAGAUAUAUGGAGGAACACCAAUGGCGAAGGCAACUUUCUGGAAUCAAACUGACGCUGAGGUACGAAGGCGUGGGGAGCAAACAGG
rnacentral:rRNA from 1 species